CCUACGGUCGGCAGCAGUGGGGAAUAUUGCACAAUGGGGGAAACCCUGAUGCAGCGACGCCGCGUGAGUGAAGAAGUAAUUCGUUAUGUAAACCUCUGUCAGCAGGGAAGAACGGUCACUGUGCUAAUCAGCAGUGAAUUGACGGUACCUGCAAAGGAAGCACCGGCUAACUCCGUGCCAGCAGCCGCGGUAAUACGGAGGGUGCGAGCGUUAAUCGGAAUUACUGGGCGUAAAGCGCUCGUAGGCGGUAUGUCAAGUCAAGGGUGAAAUCCCCGCGCUCAACGUGGGAACUGCCUUUGAAACUGGCAAACUGGAGUGUGUGAGAGGAUAGUGGAAUUCCAGGUGUAGGAGUGAAAUCCGUAGAUAUCUGGAGGAACAUCAGUGGCGAAGGCGACUAUCUGGCACAUAACUGACGCUGAGGAGCGAAAGCGUGGGUAGCAAACAGGAUUAGAUACCCGAGUAGUC
rnacentral:rRNA from 1 species